rnacentral:rRNA from 1 species
UACGUAGGCAGCGAGCGUUGUUCGGAAUUACUGGGCGUAAAGAGUGUGUAGGCGGUGCUCCCAGUCUGUUGUGAAAUCUCCCGGCUUAACUGGGAGGGUGCAGCGGAAACUAGAGUGCUAGAGGGUGGGAGAGGUAAGCGGAAUUCCUGGUGUAGCGGUGAAAUGCGUAGAGAUCCGGAAGAACACCGGUGGCGAAGGCGGCCUGCUGGGCAGUUGCUGACACUGAGGCGCGACAGCGUGGGGAGCAAACAGG